rnacentral:rRNA from 1 species
UACGAAGGGGGCUAGCGUUGUUCGGAAUUACUGGGCGUAAAGCGCACGUAGGCGGAUUGUUAAGUGAGGGGUGAAGUCCCAGGGCUCAACCCUGGAACUGCCUUUCAUACUGGCAAUCUAGAGUUCGAGAGAGGUGAGUGGAAUUCCGAGUGUAGAGGUGAAAUUCGUAGAUAUUCGGAGGAACACCAGUGGCGAAGGCGGCUCACUGGCUCGAUACUGACGCUGAGGUGCGAAAGCGUGGGGAGCAAACAGG